GUCGGGAUAGCUCAGUUGGUAGGAGCAGAGGACUGAA
rnacentral:tRNA from 1 species